rnacentral:lncRNA from 1 species
CUGGGCUUUUAAUUGCUUGCUCUAUGGUAUGGAAUUUGCUGAUUGUUGGAGGCUGUAUGGGUGCUGACCUUCUAUGUCAUUUGGUCUCUGGUGGAGAGUUGUCUAUUCAGUAAUCAUAAUUAUAUCUUUCAUUUUUAUAUUGACAGUUUUAACCAAAGCACAAUGGACUGAAAUAAAACUUAUUAAUUACUGCACUGGACACAUGGCCUUGCAGUGUUCUGCCUCAGAUUCUUGGUAUCAUUGUACUGUGAUGCUUUAUUGAUGGAAUGUUAUGCUAUCAGAAAUUAUUGCUGUAAAGGUUAUCAAUAUCACCGGAUUACAUUUUGGAUACGAUUCUCUUAUUUCACAAACUAGGUUUUUUUUCUUUCAAAUGAUUCAUUUUGUACUUGUUAAAUAAAAAAAAGUUUAUUCCGAUUUUACUUAUUGACUAAUUCCACUUUGACAGAGAUUUUUUUAUAACAGUUACG